ensembl:lncRNA
GCAGCCUAGUCUCUGCAGCCUAACCCUGUCCUCCCAGCCGCCCCCUGCUUGUGGCCCUUUGGAAAAGCCCACGGGCCCUUUUCACAGCGAGCUGACAUCACAGAUUGCAGGCAGGUACACGAGGAGGAAGACCCACAAACACGGGAAAGAUUCUUUUUUUUAACCAUCAUCAAAUUACAGAACGUAUCUUGUGAGGAUUCAGCGAGGUUUAUAGAGCAAAAGUAUCCAAUCCGAGGGGAGAAGAGAAACGGUAGAACUGCAAGGUUGUGACGCGGGCUGCGCCGGGCUGAGACGUCUCGGCCGCCCCUUAACAGCCCCGCAGGAGGGGGUUAGCUCAGAGCCGUCUACAGGAGACAGUGCAACCCACGGCUAUGAUAGAUUGUCUAGCAGCCGCAUUUUAAAAAGUAAAAAGGAGCAGGUAAAAUCCACCUUAAUGGCAUGUUUUUAGCCCACUAUUAUAACUUCAACUUGGAAUCAAUAUAAAAAUUAUUGAGACCAUUUACCAUCUUUUUUUCACUAAGUUCUAAGUCAUUUUUCUGCAGUCAUACACAACGAGACCAGAUAUGUUCAGGUUCCACGGGCUUAACGGCCACGGUCAUCUUUUUUUCACAGAGACUCUGAAAUCUGGUAUGGUCUGAGCCGGCUGGUCCCGGUUCAGACCAGCCGCGUGUGGAUAGCGGCUGUCAUACCAGACAGCCUUGGUCUAACGAGCCUUAUUUUAUUUCUCCUCUCCGCGGGCGAGAGCCAGCACCACUUGCAUCGAACAGGGAGGGGACUGAGGCUCAGAGCUGAUAGUGGCGGUCAUGGGAUCAGCAGCAACAGUGGUUUGCUCACUGAACAGGGUUCUGUUUGAGCCCUGAUUUUGCCACUUCCGAUUUCCGUGACCUCUGGCAGGCUGUUUCAAGUCUCCUAGGCGGUUUCCCUACAACUGAAGUAAAAGAGAAAAAAUAACUCCUACUCAUAGAGUGCAAGGAUUAGAGAGCGUGUUUGCAAAGGACUCUCAGGUGGCUGGCACAUACAAAAGGGUUAAUAAAUGCUGGCGAUUCUGAUAGCAAUGGACCAGGCAGAACCUCUCCACUGGAGACAUUGCCAGAAGAAACAAGAUCAUCUCUAGACACGAUGGACCACAGCUGUAAUUCUGCCACCGACUUUCUGCUUGACCUUGGAUAAGACACUGGGUUUCUUGUCCUGAAUUUCUUCAUCUGCAACAUGAAGAGUUUGAACUCAAAGAUAUUAUAUCUUAGGCCCCAUUUGGUAAAUAAAAUCCUCUGAUUCCUCCACUGUUAUCUUUCUCCUGAGGAGGUUUCUUAUACUAUCAUCAAUUUCGAGUCAUAAAGACCCUGUGUCCUAACAAAAUUCCUGAGAAGUAGGAUCAGGGUGGGAUUAUGAGCACUUUGAGCAACAGUUAAUAAACCAUCUAAUUAUAGAUACAUAUUUGUUCUUUCUUACAACUUACCA